GUGAAGAAGACGUGACUAAAAAAACUAAAGUUAGUUGAAAAAGAGCUGGCAAAGUUAAAGAUAAAGUAUGCUGUAAGUUAUUUGACUAAUUUCAUGGAGCUGGAACAUUCUCAAGAGAUAAAGAAUAAGCAGCUUAAACAAGCGAAGGACAAUCGAAAGAUGGCUCUGAACAAGAAGGACCAAACAAUGGAGGUAAAAAGAGUUUUAGAAAUAUCAAGAAAGUGCAAAAUUC